rfam:Belliella baltica DSM 15883, complete genome.
AAGGAGAAAGCCGAAAAUCCUUAUUUAGAGUAGGCA